AAAGAAGAAGAAGAAGAAGAAGAAGAAACUGGAUUGAUUGAAAAGAUGCCGAAUUAAAACAGAAGAAUAUGUAUACUGCAUGAACUGAUAAAUAAAUAAUUAUACUACAAAAUACAAUCUUUAUUCUUUGACCUGAAGCAUUUGGUUUAGGUCUGGAUCAGAACUAGCAGCAUCUUAGCCCAUAUCCUCAUUCACGCGAAUAGGUCCAAUCAGCCGGUAGGCUCAUUUACCUAUCGGCCCAAUCGGUUGUUAUUUACUUAUUUGAUUUUCUGUUUUGCAGUUGCAAAUUUCCCGCCGAAUUUUAAAGGUAAAUUUUGUUUUCCAUUUUAAUACAAACAAAACUACUAAAAUUAGAAUUCUUCAACAACAAACAAAAACGAUAAACAAAAUUCGAUUUAUCGUUUUGGAGGUUUCAUAUUUAUCAAAUAUAAAAUCUUUCUUCAUCAACCACAUUCCUCAAAUCAAAACCCAAAAGAUGAAGCAAUUCGCCGGACUUCUCUUCCUCUGCAUCGUUCUUCUCUCCUCACUCGCCGGAAAUGCUGAUUCCGAUCUGAUUUCCGAUCUGUGCAAGAAAACCGACGACCCAAAACUCUGUCUCUCGAGCAUACAGUCGCGUCCCGAGUCCGGCGAGUUCGCAGCCACCAGCAACCAGAUCGAGAUCAUAGCUAUCUCCGCCGUGUCGGCAAACGCCUCCGCCACAUCCGCCUACAUCAAGGAAAAGCUCAGCCGCGAGGAUCUUGAGCCGGCCACGGAGGACACGCUCGAGGACUGUCAGAAGAACUACCAAGACGCCGUUGAGCAGCUCGACGACUCCAUCUCCGCCAUGAUCGCCGACGCACACGCCGACGUCGACGUCUGGCUAAACGCGGCGAUCAGCGCCGUAGAGUCAUGUGGGAACGCGUUGGAGUCACGCGCCGGGAACGAUGUGGAGCUUUCUCAGAGGAACGAGGUUUUUCUCAAGCUUUGCAAAAACGCUUUGGUGAUUAACAAGAUGUUAACUUGAGCAGAUUUAAUUUUAAUCUCCAAAAAUUUGAGAGAUUAAUAAUAUUUGGUUCUUCUUUUUUUUUCAACUUGUUGUUGCUAUGAUUAAGAUGAGUUCGUUUGCAUCAAAGAAAAACAUCAAGAGCAGAUUGUUUUAUUAUUGUUUCAUGAUCAAAUACAAUGUCAUUUUUUUGUCAACCAAAGAAAAACUAAAACCUAAAUUAGAAAUAGUGAACCCAAGCAUAAUAUUAUAUUUUAUUUAUUUUUAUUUCUAAUAAAUAUAUAUAUAUAUAUUAUUUAUUUGUUUUAUUUCUAAUAAAUAUAUAAUAGUGAACCUAAGCAUAAUAUUUAUUUGUCUUAUUUUCAGAAUUUUAAACUUUGAUCUCUGAAUUUUAAUUUUUAAAUCCAAAAUUCUAAUUUUUAUACUCUAAAUCAUAAUCUAUAAACCUUAAAAAAAUUAAAAUAAAAACUAAAUCGUAAAUUAGAAUCUUUAUAUAUAUUAUUUAUAUAUAUAUAUAUAUAUAUAUUUAACAAAAUCUUUGAUUGAAUAUUUAAUUUUUUAAUUUUAAUUUUUUAAUUUUCUUUAAAAAUAAUAUUACAUGGCAGAUUCUCAUUGGCUUAAAUGAAAGAGGGUGAAUGAAUGAAUUCACCCAUAGGGAUGAACCCAAAAAUUUUCCAUAAUUUUUUAAUUUUAAUUUUUUAAUUUUCUUUAAAGAUAAUAUUAUAUGACAGAUUCUUAUUGGCUUAAAUGAAAAAAGGUGAAUGAAUGAAUUCACCCCUAGGGGUGAACCCAAGAAUUUUCCUUGUUUUUAUUAUUGUUUCAUGAUCAAAUACAAUGUCAUUUUUUUUUGUCAACCAAUGAAAUACAUGUUUUGACAAGAAAAAAAAAAUACUUGUUACCAUUUUAAAACCCGACCCGAAUGGACACUGUCUAUUGGGCUUAAAUUGUGAAAGCCGCUAUUUGGUUUAUAAUCGGGUCCAUCUUAUAUUUCCAAUUGGUUUAAUUAGAUGAUAAUUUUGUCUGGAUAAACUUUUUUGAAAAAAUAUCCAUUUCGAUCAAAUGAACAAAUGAACAAUUCAGUUUCUAUCCAUUUAUUUGGUCUAAUUAAGAUGAAAUUGGAUCGAUUUGGUUUAUUUAAUUUAAACAUCCUUGCCUUCAAGUCUUCAACUAUAAAAUCUCAUGGACAGUAUGAUUAGGAGGUGUGGAAAAAAUGUGUAAAAGCAAAACAAAGGUGGAUAGUUGAAAUCCAAUAAAAACGGAACCAAUGGUGGAAACCUACUCGACCCAUCAUGAAAUUUUUCUAGUCAAAUUGUUUUACCAAACUCCAACUUCAUCGUUGACCUACCACAUUCAUAACGUAAUCAAUUAUUUUGAUCUAUCUAUAUUAAACCAAUAUUAAUAAACAACUGUUUUCUAACAAAAAAAAAGGUGCAUUAGGAUAAUCAAUUGUCAAGUUUUGAGAUACAUAUUCAGGAUUCAAGUCUGAUAUUUUUCGGAAAUAUACGGACACGAUCCAUUUGGACAUCAUUUCAAAGAGGUUGCUUGUAAGAUGGGGUGUUGGAUAGAUUCUAGAUUCAAUGUCCCACAAAUAGACAAAACACAGAUACCUUUCUUCUCCACCUGGAUAAAUUGUAUAUAUACACUUGUUCUACGCUUUAAUAUUUUAUUUCCCAAAAAAAAGUUAUUUUUUCUUGUUAUUCAUCACUCAAGAUGUAAUUCACAAUCACAUUAUUAUAAAGCUUACUAAAUAUACAGUGGGUGUAAGAAAGAAGCUUUAAUUUUAAAUACUAUUAUUAGAUAUAUACCUAUGUUCACAUAAUUCAAACAACUUGCACAUCAAAGAUGAGAUCAUAAGAGAAAACUUGCACUCUUGUAAAGUAAUUCAAGAUUCCACUAAGACCCCACCUUGUUGCAUUUCCUCUUAACAAUGAUAGAAUCUUGCUUUUUAUUUGCUUUUUUUUUCAAUUAUUUAUGGAUAAAACUAUAUUUUUAUCAACCAACUUGAUUAUACUUAAUAUUAGAAACAAUCUGGUUUUCAAGUAUAUGAUAUCCGAGAAAUUCUUGUAGUUUUUUAUAACCAAAAAAAAUCGAAACACGAUUGCAGUUAUAGUGGUUACUGGUUAGUUAAGGAUUUGAAUUUUACUGACCCCAGAAUCAAGUGUGGUGAAGGACAUGGAAGAAAAUAUAAAUAUGCAUAGAUUUUGAUUCGUUGAAUUUCGAAUAUGUGGGAAAUGGAUGGGAGAUUCAAGUUGAAGAAGACGAUGAAGUUUGGAAGUUGCAAAGGAGUGGGCAAAGGAACCAAGUUGACAUAGAAUGCACGCAAAUCUAUGCGAGUGCUGAAAAGAACACUUCUCUCACAUUAAUCUAUACAAUUCUUCUGUCACUCAAAUUGAUUUAAACAAUUUUAUAUGUACAAAAUAUUUGUAAAGUAGAUAGAUUUGCCUAUCUUGGAAGCACACAAAUUCCAAUUGCUUCCAUCACACUCCAACGCCAAUCUCACAACCUAUGGUAUUAAAUUUAAAACGCAUUGUGAAACUCUAGAUUUAGAUUCAUAAUAAAUCAAGAUUUUCAUAUGUAGACACUAUCUAAGCACUCAGUAUCAAGUUAUUAUGCAUCAACAAUAACUAAUUGGAUGGUUACAUGUAGUGCACACUGUUUUUAGGCUAAGAUCAUUAGAAUAGUUUUAUGGAAUUAAUAAAGUUAAUACCAGAAAUAUUCUAUGCUAAGAUCAAUCUAUACUUUGAAAAGGAGAAAAGAAGAAAAACAAAGAAAAGGAUAAUUCAUUCGUUGGGGGUAAUUAUGUAAAUGAUAAACCACAUCGAACCCAAGAAAUGUUGAAGUAUCUCUAAAGUCUGAAAUUACGUUGGAAGAGAAGAAGACUAGAGAAGUAUCCAAUAAAUGGGACACACGCCCCAUAUUAGAGAAUAGAGACUAGUGCCCAGUUCGUGAAAUAAGACAAGGAACAUAGCACCAAACACUUCACUUUCUCAGUUUCUCUCUCUCUCAACCAAAAAAAAAAGGAAACGAAACCUUUCAAAUGACGUAAAAGCAAAACACUGACUUUGCUUCCCCGGAAUUACCAAUCCAAGAAACGCUAAUGAUUCCUCCCUCCAUUAAACAACUCCUCUCUCUAAACCCAAAUCUCAAUCCUUCUCUCUUUUGAUUCUGUUCGCUUUUAACCCACACAUACAGAUUAUACAUAGUUUCGUAUGUGGAAGAAGAGUGUAUGCCAGAAAAAUCCCCCCUUUCUCUCCAUAACCUAAAUCACUCGAUCAUAAGUAGAAGAAAAAGGUAAACUUUUUUUUUGGGUGAUUUUAUAUGGUAAGAAGAGGAGAAAAGAGCAAACCUGGGAAAGUCAGGGGAGAAUUUGCUGGAGGGUUUAUUGGAUUGUAUCCAUGACAUCACAUCGGCUUUGGCUUUCGCUAGGAUGACUGAUUCUGCUUAUAGAGUUGACACCAUUUCCAGGCUCGCCCAAUGGCGAAUCCACAACCUUUCUUCCUCCACUUACCGCAAGUCCGAUCCUUUCAAGAUGGGUCUCUGGAAUUGGUAUCUCUCUCCUCUCUCUCUCCUUCCUUCUUUCCUUUUUUCAUGACCCGACAUGAAUGAUGGCGAUGAAUGAAACAAAAGUGGGCACCUUUUUUUCUAAUUGAUGUGUUUGGUGAUUGAUUUUGACAAUUUGGUGUGUUGAUUAUAUCCAAGGCAUUUGUCUGUGGAGAAAAGCAAGAUGCUAUUAAAUGUUAAGUUGUAUCCAGAGGUAUCAAACCUCACCAGAGAGAAUCCACCUGUUGCCUCCUUUGCUCUUCGUGUUGUCUCUUCUGCCGGUGAAAGGAAAGCUUUAUCUCAUCCAGGUCAAUAAGAUCUUGCUAUUUGAUUUUUUGGUUUCCCCUGCUUUUGUUCCUGUUCCACUUAAGAUGAAUCAAAAUGCUGACACUAUUUCUUUCACGAAUUUGUAUACCCGAAUGCAGAAGUAAUAGAUAAGCGGAUCAAGACAAACGAAGAUUUUCUUUGGACGAUUGAAGUUCCCUUAACUGGAAAAAUCAUCAUCGAUGUUGAGUUUCUAGACCUGAAGGUUCUGUCUCAAGAUGUAAGUGUUUCCAUCACUUCAGAGAUGUUACUAAGAAGAACCUUAUAUAUGUUUGGUGUGUUUAGUUGAUACUUAACUGAAUAUGGCAGAGUGGAGAAUUCUACUCAAUCUGGGAAGACGGUUCAACGCAGAAUCAAUCCAAAGCGUCAGCAGUAACAUCCCUUGGACGUAUGUUGGAAGAAAGCAUUUACACAGACAUAAUGAUCAAUGCCUCUGAUGGAAGCAUUGGAGCUCACCGAGCUGUUCUUGCUGCACGUUCACCUGUUUUCCGCAGCAUGUUUCUACAUGACCUUAAAGAGAAAGAGCUCUCAGCGAUCAACAUGCCCGACAUGCCUCUUGAUGCUUGCCAAGCGUUCCUCAGUUAUAUCUAUGGCAAUAUCCUGAACGAAGACUUUCUUAUCCAUAGAUUAGCUCUCCUCCAAGCAGCAGAUAAAUAUGAUAUUGCUGAUUUGAAAGACGCGUGCCACUUGAGUCUUGUAGACGAUAUCGACACAAAGAAUGUUCUUGAGAGGCUUCAGAAUGCUUAUCUCUACCAGUUACCUGAGCUCAAGGCUAGCUGCAUGAGGUAUCUUGUGAAGUUUGGUAAGAUAUUUGAGAUCCGUGAUGAGUUCAACAUAUUCAUGCAGUGCGCAGACAGAGAUUUGAUUUCUGAAGUUUUCCACGAAGUUCUCAGUACCUGGAAAGGAUUUUAGGGGGGAAUCAGAAAGGGUAUGUGUGCUAUUAUUAUUAUACAAGGACUAUUUUUUUGUGCAGAAGGAUUUGUUGGUCUUUAUGUACAGAUUAAAGUGUUGUCAGGGUUUUAACUCAAAACCCCCAAGUAUUGUCCUUGCAAGGAUAAAAACAGCAACAUGUAAAUUCAUGAUUUGAUUGAAUGCGAGAGCUUCUUAGCUUGAACUUUGGAUUGUUGGUCCAUAACACUAAUACUGUAUAUAGUUAUCAGUCUUAUGCUUUUAAAGUAAAAGUUUGAAAUCAGUUCUAAGUUCCAAGCAGGAUACCAGGCAAAGAGAUUCUAAUAGGGAUCAAAGGCUUAUUCUAGAGUUAGGCCAAGCUAAACUUUAUAUAUCCUCUCAUACUCUGUUAUAAUAGUACCAUUCAUCAUACGAGCAAAUGCCACAGGAAUAAUUUUAAGUGAUUUUGCAAAACUAAGCUACUAGUAACAUAUCAAAACCAUCACUCUAUAAACAUGACAACUAAACGUCUUAUAAUGUACAAUAUAUCUUAUAAGAUAUAGAGUGAUAUGGUUUUGAUAUGUUUGGAGAAUCAUGAAAUUUUGUACAAGAAACAUUAUAAAAAAACUUUUAGUUGUCAAUCUUUUUAACAUGAUUAUCAAUGAGUUCAUUUUGCAGCACAUUACAAGAAUCCAUAUGCCAUUUGACCUGAUUCGUAAUUAUGUGUUCCAAGCAGGAUAAGAGAUAUACUUAUAGUAUGUACAGAUGGUCAAGUUAGGCCGAGCUAAACAUUUCUAUAGAUAUGUAUCCUCCCUUAAUCUAUAAUCUCCGCACGGUUUUAAAAUGGUCAUCACAUAAGCUAAACAAUUCAUAAAUGCAACAGGAAUGGUUCAGUUUCAGAGAAUUCUCUAUACAUAAGCCCUUGUGCUAUUUAACAUUUUCAUUAAUUUAUCAAAAAGAGAAAGACUAGAAUCUGUGAUCAUACUUGAUACUAUACAUAGAUACCGUUGAUGCCGAACAUAAGCUUAGCGACAAUGAUAGCAGAGAUAAAAACACACCAAAAGGAACGAUCUGAAUCAAGCCAAUCACCGAAACCAAAGCCCUCGAAAGCGGAGAGUAAACCAAAGCGAAAGGUGUAAAGGACGUGUUUAGUGUCCAUGGUAUACCCAAAGGCAAUCCAAAGCGAAAGCCCAAACUAAAUUGGGCUUAACGUAGAGUUGAGCUGGAAGAUGGCGAUCCCAAAGGCAAACACGGAGCAUAUGUAGAUCAAAGCAUCGAUGGUCGAGUAAUAGUAAGGGAAAUAAAACAUGGCUACCAUAAGAAUCACAGAGUAGCCCGCACGUGUAGCAGGAAGAGGAGGCUCGUUUGGAUGCGAAUAAUAUUGUGGGACACUUCGCGAUAUCUCCCUUGUCGUGGCAUUGGAUUUUAAAGAUUCUAUCUCAAAAAAACACAUUAUCGAAGGAAGAGAUAAUAGUGCUGAUUUGAGACGUCCAUAACCUAUACCUAGGCCAUUCCACCGGUUUUAAGAUUGCAUCAAGAGCAGCUGCACAAUCAGUCGCUAUCGUUAUAUCCAUCAAGUGAAGAUCCCUUAGGCUUUGCAAUGCUCAGAUAAUACCUCUUAGCUCUGCUGUUAUUCGGUUAUGAAAGCAGGUCAAGGCAUCUCUUGCGUGAAACAGAACAGUACCUGAUGAGUCUCUUGCAAGCCACGCAACACCACUAAGUAGAGAGGCACUUCUCCAAUUGGCAUUCACAUUACAUUUCACGGUACCUGGAGGAGCACUUCUCCAAUUGUUUAUGUACAGAUUAAAGUAUUGUUAGGGUUUUAACUCAAAACCCCCCAAGUAUUGCAUAGUUAAUUAGUUUUUCUUUUGCAAAUCAAAGGGCAUCAAACAUUUUCAAACCAAUAACACCAACCAAUCAAUUGUUUUCACUCAGCUUAAAGAAUGUCAAUAGUAACAAACAGCUUAUGAUCAUGUUUUUGAGUAGAAAACAUUCCACAGCUCCCAUAAUUCUGCAUGGAAGAGAGCAUAUAAGGUGAUUAAAAGUUUUGGUGUACACAGAGACAGAGAUGGCAGAAUCAAAAGGACACAAUAUGAGCAAAAUAAAUGUCAGUCGUACAAAUCUUUAGUGUUUCUUUUUCUUUUGGUUAUUUCUGUUUCAGCCAGCCAGAUACGAAAGUGGCAUUUGCCAUUUGUUAUGCAUACUACACGAUUAGUGAAUAACAAAAAAAUAAAUAAAAGUUUUAAGAAAGAAUUAAAUAUAUAGGACAAAUAAACCUAACUAUUGUUAAAUUUUGUCCCAUUAAUACUUCUACUAAUAAUUUAACCUUUUCUACCCUUCUAAUUCGAAUUUACCCAUAUAAUUAAAAUUUAUGAUAUAAAAUUUAUUCUAGAAAGAAAGAAAUAUAUUCGAAAAAGAAAGAAAUAUAUUCUCUAGAUCUGAUUAGGAAAAAAAUAAAAAAUUUAAGAAAAUAAUUAGGAAAUUAAAUAAUUGGAAAAGGAAAUAAAUAUAUUCUCUAGAUCUAAUCCUAGAUUCUCGGAGAUUCAGUUAACCAAAUUGUAGAAUAAGUAUUCUAUAAUUAUAGAACAAAGAGUUUCCGUAGAAAACAAUUCUACUAAGAUAUAGAACAAAGAGGUAAAUAUAGAAAGAUAAUUCUACUAAACUGUAGAACAAUGAAAAAGUUAUAGAAUACGGUUUCAUAACUUUGUAGAACAUAGAAGAACUGUAGAUAACUAAUUCUAUAUAUUUAGUAGAAAACUAAUGAAAUAGUAGAUAGUCUAUUCUAUAAAUUUAUAGAUUUAUAGAAUGCACUUUCUACUAAUUCAUAGAACAUUUGUAAAAAGUUGUUUAAAAUUUUUUUUUGGCAAAAAGAUGUUAUGAAAUGUUUUUGUCUUCCCUUUUCAGAAUGAUCCAAAAUUUUUUAGAUUAUAAAAUUUUUUUUUAAAAUUUUUGUAAUUGUAAAUUAAUGGUAUUUUUAUCCAAAAGUGGUCAAGUUUGAAAAAGUAUUAAGGGGACAAUACUACAGUUUUUUUGUCCUAUAAAUAUAAUUGAAACAUAAGAAGGUCUAGACCCCUAUAUGAAAAUGAUAAUCUAUAAUUAAGUGGCUCUAACUCAUAUGGUUACGGAAUUAUGAAAGACCAGUGGCGGAGGUAUAUACAAUGAGUUGGGGGCAGUUGCCCCCAAUAAAAAAAAAUAUUUAGUGUAAAUUUGUAACAAUAAUACUAGUUGCCCCCACACUAAAUAGCAUAUAUGUUCCCAUUAAAUACGUUUUGUCCCUAAUAGAAAAAUGUUCUGGCUCCGCCACUGUGAAAGACAUCAGUGUGACUUGAAGCAAUGCUUUGUUUACUUCAAAGUUUGAUAUUCUGUGUAUAAUUAAAAAGUUUAGUCAAAAUCAUGAAUUUUCACUCAUUAUCCAUAUAUAAUCUAUAGAGAGACAAUGGUCACGUACGUAACAUUGUCGUUAUUUGACAAAAAAAAACCGUUUGUAUAUCAGAAUAAAACGAGAGAGUAUCUGUUUGGUUUAUAAUCAUACGUUAUUAUACAUAAUUAGACAAAAAUAGAUCGUAAAUGCUUAGGAAACAAAAUAGAUCAUCAUAGAUAUAGGUAAUUAACGGGGAAAAAACAAGAAUUCAUAGCCAAAAAAGAAAGAAAGGAAGUUUUAUAUAUUGAAUGCAGCUAUAGAAAAUACGAAGAUCCAAAAUGAUUGAUUCCUAUUUCCCAUUACGUUUUGGGUUAUAAUUACAAGUUUCUGAAUCAUAUAUUUCCAAUCGAUCGAAUCCAAAAGAAGCAAAACGAAAAGAAAAAAGAAAGAUGUUGAUGUGGGACUACUAAACAAACUAAAUUGGGCUUGACCAUCUGCUAGUAGUAGUCCGGGCUAAUGUCGAUCCAGCCUAAUUUCUUUCAGCCAUCUGCAACGGGGGACUUGCCUGGGAAGCUCAGCGACGACAGCUUCAGCCGGCGGGGGAGGUGGAGUGUUCAGGACUGCCAAAAGAAGCGAGAAGCAUACGCUUAGGACUAGAAUGUAAUGCUUCUUUGGAUAUUCUGCGACUGAGACGGUGAAGGCAGCAAUGAGGACUCCCUGGGCGAUUCCAAUGUCAUCGGUGAUUUUGUUGAUGACCCAGAACGAUAGUAGAAAGAGAAAGUAAAAGAUAGCGGAGAUGGCUAUAUACACAUCUUUCUCUGCCACCAUUCUUUUCCCCAGCCAGAGGAACAAAAAGAAGAAUCUAAUCGUAGUGACUCCCUUGAAGAUAGUGAAUGCACAAUCCCCAAAUUUAACAAGGAUUUUUUGUCGUGCCUUCCGUUACAAAUUGUGGAAUCCAAAUCAAGCAAAAGGAAACCAAUAUCACAUCGGCGAAAUACAUUGCUUCAUCGCCAGAGUGAUUCUUGCAAUACACCGAUUUUUUUAAAAAAAAGUUGUAGAGAUGAGCAGAUAAGCAGCAGCUUGAUACUUGGGAUAAAUAGAACCCAAGAAAACCUGUGAUGCGAGCGGCUGGGUUCAGACUUGGAAAUCGGAUGGUGUACCUGGGAAAAGCUGGAUUUCCGGCCAUGAGUAUUUGGAAAGAAGAAAAUGUAUUGGAGGAAGACAAAGAAAAUGUAUUGGAGGGAAGAACCAGAGGAAUUUAUAAAUCGACGCUGAUAUAAAUGAUAUUAAUGGGCCGGGUCAGUUUGAUUAGAGGCCUUAGAGAUUCGAGUCCUUAAAUUCUUGUCCUCAAAAAAAAAACCUCGAUCUUCAAAUCCCUUUCAUGGUUUAGUCUUGGAAAUUCGAUGGGGAAAAGCUGGAUUUCCGACCAUGGAUGAAUAAAGAGAAAGGCUCUUGGAUAUUUGGAAAGAAGAAAGAAUUAGUGAAUUUGUCCGCGCCUUGCACGAGCUGAUAUUAUUUUUUAUUUGAUUGUUUAAAAAUGUAAUAUAGUUUAGAUUAAUUUUUUUAUUCUUUAUUAUUGUAUAUAUUUGUUUGUUAGAUUUCUUUGCAUUUUAAUGUUUAAAAACAUGAUGUUGACUAUAAAUACUAUCAUUGUCUUUUUUUGUCCAUUUGGCUGAUAUGUUUUUUGAACAAGACUACAAACUAUAUAUAUAUACAUAUUUAUAAUAAUCAUAGAACAUAAUGAUUUGAAGUAUCGUACAAAUUUAUUCGAAGAAUAAAAUAAGAAAUUAAACAAUUUAGAAGGAUGUGAGAGAAUUAGGGAGAAAUUGUGUACAUAUUUAUACUAAAACAUUUGAAGUCAAAAACCGUAAUAGAGACAUGACAAAUUCCGUUAUUCCAUUAGAUAUUCUAUUUAUUGAUUUUUACUUUUUCGUUUAUUUGACUGAAUAUCAAUUAACUAAAUUAGAAAACGGUUUGAUUGACAGUGGACUGAAACAUUAAACCACAAUAAUUUAGAGCGGUAUGUUUUAAGUUAUUGUAAUACAUUAUCAGAUAAAAAUUAAUAAAAAAUGACACUUAAUUGGAAAAUAGGGUUAAAAAGUCUUUUUGCGUCGAAAUUCAUUCUAGAGUUGACACAUAAGCAAAACUUUUUGAAACUUGAUGAGAAACCGAGACCUAAGCUUUUCACUAUACAAAUAGUAUAUAGAAUUGGAGGAAGACGAAUUAAGAAUUGGAGGAAGGAAUUUAUUAAAUCGAUGCCGAUAUGAAUCCUUGUGUUGAUGUUAAUGGGCCGGAUCAGUUUGAUUAGAGUCUCACGGGUCCUUUAAAAUCCCACAAAAUGCCUCUUUCCCGUUCUCCUCAAAAAAAAAACCUCGAUCUAUCUUAUGACCUUUCAUGAACUUAGUUUUCGCAUAGUUUCGAUGGAUUUUUCCCGAUAUAUUGGCAAACCUGAGACGAAUUUUACCGCGUUUUAGAACUUUUGGCGUAUCUGCUCGAUAUGGCGGGUGGGCAAGUGGAGAAGCGAGUCAGAUUGCAGCGCUUUUUCUAAGUAAAAGUUUGAAAUCAGAUUGCAGCGCAUUUUCUAAUUACAAGUGCCAUUAACCUUAUUCAUAUGCAUGAAUGAUUCUGAGUUUCAAGCAGGAUGAUACCAGGCAAAGAGAUAGAUGCCAUUGGGUUUACUUUCCCUACCAAUUAAUCCACAGCCCAUAGGCCUAACUUAGGCCUAACUUAGGCCCAACUUAAGCCCAAAAUGCUCUAUCUUCCGAUCGUAUCACUGUCGUUACCACUCGUCGCCGACAUAUCAAACACGGCACAACUCCCGUCGAUCUGAGAAUCCCCGUCGUAGCUGGUCAUAAAAGAAUAAAACUCACAAUAAUAUAUUAUAGAAGAAGAAGCUUCUGUUUCGAUCAUAUCGGUUACAAAAUCUAAAUUUGUUGUUGUUGUUGUUGUUGUUGUUGUUUUGUUAACAGGUUUACACACGAUCGUCAGUAAGGUAAUCUCAUCGUCCAUGGAUUUUGUUGCUUAUUUUCGAACUACUCUAAACCCUAGAUUCCAAUUUUUGCUACAUCGCCUAUAAUUUUGAUUGAUUUUGACCGAUUUAGGGAACAUAUCUGCUGGAUAUGGCGGGUGGUGGGCAAGUGGAGAAGCGAGUCAGAUACAAGAGCUCUGUCAAGGAUCCGGGAACUCCUGGAUUUCUCAGACUAGUAAGAUUAAUCCACGAACAACUGGUGAAUUCUCGAUGCAUUUUUUUUCUUCUGCUUUCAUAUGUUUCAAUUGAUAAAAUUUCGCAGACGGAAGCAAUGUUGCUAUUUGUCCCAAACGAUCCGAAAUCAGAUUCAAAGCUUAAAGUGCAGACUCUAAACAUCAAAAGUAUGUAUGCCAAUUUACACCAGGUCUUAUUUGGAUAAGAGAUAUAAUCUGUUUUCCUCUUGUGUUUCUCGUUUCUUCAGUUUCUCCAUUGUAAAAUUUCUCAGGUCAAAAAUAUACAAAAGAAGGAUCAAACAAACCUCCUUGGCUUAAUCUGACCAACAAGCAGGUCUUUUGUUGGCCUUUUUGCUGAAAGCUUAGAUGUGUGCAUUUUGAAAGCUUAUUCUGUGUGUUUUAUGAGGCUUCCUAAUCUUUUUGAUCACAGGGAAAGAGUCAUAUCUUUGAGUUUGAAAAUUAUUCGGAUAUGCAUGCUUGCCGUGAUUUCAUCAGUAAGCUCUUUGUGCCGAUGGUUUUCUUUUAUUUAGUGGAAACUACCUUCUAUUGGUUUCUUUCAGUGGUACUGAAACCAUUUUACUAUGAACAGCUAAGGCCCUUGCUAAAUGUGAAGAGGUGCCUAAGAAAUCAGCUGUCUCGACAUCAACUGAGCAGCUCAGUAUUGCAGAACUGGAGCUACGCUUCAAGGUUCUCCGAGAAAAUAGGUAUGCAAUCGGAACACUAGGUUACCUUUUGGGAUCCUUAGAGUUUCUAUUUUCAUAAGUUCAUCGAAUUCCUUAAAACAUAAGUAGUGCAUGCAUGAUAUGUAGUGAGCUGCAAAGAUUGCAUAAGCAAUUUGUGGAAAGUAAAGUUUUAACGGAAGAUGAAUUCUGGGCUACAAGGAAGGUUGGUUCUUUGUAGUUUCUUUGGUUCUCAAUUAUCUGUUUGUUUGAGUGUAAUCAUAGUUACCAGCUUUCUUCUGAUCGCAGAAAUUACUUGGUCAAGUUUCCACUGGAAAGUCAAAACAACAAGUCGGGCUCAAGAGCAUGAUGGUAUCUGGCAUCAAACCAUCUACUGAUGGGCGGGUAUGGUAUAUUUCACUCUACCCCUUCCUGAGAGUCAUCCUUUUCGGUUAAUAAGUUCAGUGCAUGCUUUUGUAUGAAAGAAACAAUGCACCUGUAUAAGUAAACUAUGUUGUGUUUGGUUGAAGUCCAGCCGCUUGCUGUUAUAUAUCGUACAAUUCAUCUGGUUUAUACUAACCACCUUCUUCAAUGUUUUUUUUUUCAGACUAAUAGGGUGACGUUCAACUUGACAUCAGAGAUCAUUUUUCAGGUCAGCUCUUUGGUUGACUAGGUUCUCCACUGAUUUAGGUGCUCUAUAGGGUCAGGAUAAGUUUUACGGUGAACGAGGUCCAUGUUUCAAUUGGUGAUAUUUUCUGUCAUAAAUUAUGUUAUGUGUGGUUCCAUCUGCAUCAUGUGUUUGAACUUACAAACUCCAAAGCGAAACUACAAGCGAGGGAUAGAGACAUUUAUAAUAGCCUUUCAGUUCACCUUCUAUUUUGCGCUGGCUUAGUCCUUAGAUCUGCUGUAAGAAUAGUUGAAUGUUGCUUCACUCAUGCUACUGUCCAUGUCUCACAUAUGAUUCUUUCAUUACGCUUUCAGAUUUUUGCUGAGAAACCAGCUGUUCGGCAGGCAUUCAUAAACUAUGUUCCGAGUAAGGUAACAAAGCCUUCAUGACUAUGACUAUCUUUGUUUAUAGGUUUAACCAUCAAAUCCGACAAAUCUUAAAUGGUUUUUGGUAGUUUUUUACUACGACAGAUGACAGAAAAGGACUUUUGGACAAAAUAUUUUAGAGCAGAAUAUCUUUACAGCACCAAAAAUACAGCAGUAGCUGCAGCAGAAGCUGCUGAGGACGAGGAACUCGCGGUUUUUCUGAAGCCUGAUGAGAUAUUGGCUCGGGAAACUCGUCAGAAGGUUAUUUUGCCUCUACAAUUAUUCAUUUCUCUGUAUUUUAUUUGAGAAGAAAACAUUUUUUUGCAUAUUUAUCUGAUCUGAAUGUCAUUUAUGUAGAUUAGACGAGUUGAUCCGACUCUUGACAUGGAGGCUGACCAGGGAGACGACUACUCUCAUCUAAUGGUAAGCCAACUACCACUGCAUUAGAUGUAUGUUGGACACUGCGUCAAGUGAUUUGUUUUCUAAAAUCCUCAGACCCUGUAUAAGCUGUUAAAUCAAGAAAUUUAGGUUCUUACAAAUGUAAAUUCUGGACUACGCAACUACGUUUGAAUUAUCUGAUCUACUUCUAUUUCUUUGUGCCUUACAAAUUAAAACUACUGCUUUUAUCUUAUACACUAGGACCAUACUUUAAUAUUAGCUUGUAUAGGAAUGUGUUUCAUGCUGAUAUCUAGAAAAUAGGGAUCUUGAAAUCCAAUUUGCGGAUCAUAUCUUCACAUCAUGUGCUUAAUGUAAAUUUACUUUCCAACAGGACCAUGGGAUUCAGCGUGAUGGCACCAAAGACGUUGUUGAAUCACAGAAUGACCAAUUUAGGAGGUCACUGUUGCAAGAUCUUAAUCGCCAUUCUGCUGUUGUAUUGGAAGGCAGAAGCAUUGGUAAAACACUUCUACUAGAGCACCUAUUCUGAUUUCUUCAUCUGAUAUUCUGUGUAACGUCAUGAGAAAUAACUGCAACUGACUCUUACAGCUAGUUCGUAAAGGUUAAAUAUAUAAUGAUGCGCACUUGUACUUUUUUAAUUGAAAAGCAGAUGUUGAGUCAGAAGAUACGAGGGUUGUUGCAGAGGCUCUGACACGGGCCAAACAAGGUUUGCUGUUUCAUUCUGCUAUGUCCUACUUUAAUAUUCUUGCAGAUUGAUGACCGAUGCCACACGUUAUUAUAUUCAUCUGACUUCAGUAUCCAUCUUUAUUACUUUUGUAGUUAGCAAAGCUGAUGGUGAAACCACCAAGGACGCUAAUCAGGAUAGAUUGGAGAGAAUGUCUCGGACAGCGGAAAUGGAGGAUCUUCAAGCACCACAAAAUUUCCCGUUAGCACCGCUAUCUAUCAAGGUUUGGCUUUCUGCCAUUAAAGGGUUUUCAGUGUUGAUGAUGGAUGCUUCAUAAAUCCUCUAACCCUUUCUUUUUUUUUUUUUGGAAUUUAGGACCCUCGUGAUUACUUUGAAUCUCAACAAGGAAACGUCCUCAAUGAACCUAGAGGAGCAGGGGCAUUAAAUAGAAAUGUCCAUGAAGCUUAUGGGUUGCUAAAAGAAUCCAUUUUGGAGAUUAGAACUAAAGGAUUAAGUUAUCCGUUGAUUAAAUCAGAAGUUUCCUUUGAGGUGCUACUCUAUCUCAUGAUAAAAUGUGUGCUUACUAAAAGAAACCAUGGCUUAUUGCUUUGGUGCCUGCGCUAAACAUUGCUAACCUAUUCAGGUUUUCAGUUCGUUAACCCAAACUAUCUCAACUGCCAAAAAUAUUAUCGGGAAGAACCCGCGAGAGAGCUUUCUGGACAGAUUACCAAAGUCCACCAAGGAUGAAGUUCUACAUGUAAGUCAUAAGUAACAAUAACACCUAUGGAUUCUGUUGUCCCCUCAAAAUGGAUCACAAGAGUACUUUUUCUUUUUUCUUUUUCUCUUUCAUCUACAGCACUGGACAUCAAUACAAGAAUUACUGAGACAUUUUUGGUCAUCUUACCCAAUAACAACCACAUAUCUUCACACGAAGGUAAAUUUGUUCCCAUUUCAUAAUUCUCCUAAUCCCAGAAUUUGCUAUAUACAAAUAUUCACAACUUAUUUUACUCCAAGAGCAAGAUCGUAUACUAGGAUAUUAUGUUUUACUAUGCAGGUUGGUAAACUGAAGGAUGCAAUGUCCAAUACUUAUUCACAACUCGAUGUAAGCUAUGAAAUUCUUCUUCAAGUCUUCCUGAUAUAAUAAGCUACUCGUAGUCUAUUAGAACAGUCGUUCCAAAUCUCUCCAUGCCAGUAAUUGCAUAUGGUCUAGUGUGUGCGUUCGUGUACGGGUUCCUUGAUAUUAAUCUGCAUGUAACUCAGGCAAUGAAACAGUCGGUGCAAUCUGAUCUCCGGCAUCAGGUUUCUUUACUGGUUCGGCCAAUGCAACAGGUUAGCCUCUUCCAAUACUUACAGAAGAAGUUUUAUGACAGCAUCUCUCGAUCGGUUAAGUCUCCACACGCAUUGUAUCGGAUCUAUCCGAUUUAACCAUCCAAUCCAGGCACUACAUUGUAAUCCGGGUAACACAGUGAAAUCUGAGUGAUCUUAACCCGUUUUGUCCAUCAGGCCCUUGAUGCUGCGUUCCAACACUACGAAACAGACUUGCAGAGAAGAACCGCUAAGAGCGUUGGAGGCAGCAGCAGCGAAAGACCAAACGGGGGCGUUUAGAAGACAACACGCAUCUUUGUUUUGUUUCACAAAGUGUAAUUGAUGUUUUUGAGAUUUUUCUUUGGUUGCUUUUUGUCCGAUCAUUGAGAAUACAAACAAAAGGCGGUUAUAUUGUCUAAUCGAGGCGCUUUGUACUUGAAAGAGCAAUUUUCUUCAACAUCAUUCUCGAACUAAAGUACCCACUGAAUAUAAUUUAGCUUUUGAAGUGUAGUAGAUAAGAUUCUCCAGAGGACCUUAAGAUUGUUGCUUGAGUUACAAGAAACCUCCCGAUGCCUAGUUACAAUGAACAAUAAUAAUAGGGAGAGGCUUCUGUUUACAUAAAUUUCAAUGGGAUAUGACAAUGAUCAAAUUACAAAACAAACAUUCCAGAUUGGAAAGAGAAAAAGAAAAAAAAAACUUCGAAGAUAAAGAAAGAUGCAAGACUAAGUCCAAUACAUAACCUAUAAGAAAUAAAUUUUUAAUCCAAGAUUCAAAUACAUCAUCAAAGUUUUUUGUAGUUUGAUGGUGGACUUCAUUAACCAUGCGAAUCACACACUUGCCGUGGAGAUGGGACAACAAGAGGUCCACUUCGAUUUAAGCUAAAAAUCUAUACUAUUAAAUCAGCAUAUUUAACUAAAUAUCAUAUCAGUAAUUCACAUAUAAUACAUAAGGGACAUUCGAAAUUAAUUCAAAAAAAAAAAAAAGGUAAAAUGGCCAAUCAAAAAAAAUUAUUUUGAGUCCGAAUAACUCUAAUUAUUAUUUUAUUUUUGGUCACAAAACGCGAAUAAUAACUCUAGUUAUAUAUAGUGUUUUUUUUUCUUCUAUAUACACUUGUAGUUGUAGUUAGUUAACAGGACAAAUUAAAAUGAUGUAAAAAACUAUAAAGAUAAAUGAAAAUAUGAGGAAUAAAUUUAUGAUCUCUUCGAUUUGCAUUCUUUUGAAAAAAGCUAAACUUGUCUUCUUCAACGGAUGAAAAUUUAGUAGCGAGAAGGAAACUUCCUAGCUCACGCUCUUCACUUCAAUCUGAGAUCUCAUCGCAACUAAAUCACACAGAGAUCACAAAUCUCGUGAAGUGAAACUUUUUAAUUGUAUUCCUUGAAAAUAACAAACCCAUCGAAUUUUUGUAGACUAAGCUUCUCCAUCCAUUCUUCCUCCUACAGCAGAUCCGAAGACGAAGAAGAAAUCAAACUAGUUCCGGGUUUUUUAUCUUGCUAGUUUGUUGAGUUAUGCUGGAUUUGGUUUUCAAUCUUUCUUCUCUGACCGUUCGUUGACUUGCUUAGGUAAAAAUAUCGGGAUCUCUUUGCAAGUUCCUUUCAUUCCUAUGAAAAUCACUCAACUAUGUGUUGUAUUGAUUCUUUGUUUGUGGUCUCGAGGUUUGGGUUAGCGUUUGAAAACGUUUUUGACUAAAGCUUUGAAAGACAAAUUCGAAUUGGAUUCGCGUUACUCUAUAUCAAUGAAUUUGUUCUUCAAGUAUCUACUGAUUCAUGCAAAUCUUAAGCUUAGACCUUAAAGUAACGCAUUUUCAGUUCAAGUUCGCCUUUUGUUGCGGUUUCUAUUCUGUGAAGAUCAAUGGGCUUUGAUAUUGAUGAUCUGAUUGGUCUCCCAAGUUUUCAGAUUUAAAUUGUGUUCGAUACCUAAUCUAAGGUUUGGGUUACAGGUACAAGUCUCUCCAUCUCCAGCUUCUAGAAGAAGACAACAUUUUAGUGUAUCCUCGUUGAGUCUAUGGGUUGUUGUAAGGUGCCGGCUCUUAUUCAGGCGCAGGUAGAAGUAAGUUAGUUCACGAGAUCAGUGUCUUGUCUCUUUUUUUUUUGGCUCCUCAUUGUCAGCUGAUUGGAAAAAGUUGUCAUUGUAAACAGAUGGGUUUGGUAAGUGAAGUUGAGCACAAAAGACUUUUCAGACGAGAAACAGAUUCACCACAAACAAAAGCUGCUUCUUUGAUGGAGCAAGGUGGAUCAUUUUCUGCAAAUUUUCAAGAGCGCACAGCUAAAGCACCUAAGCACAGCGUGCUCCAGAGCUUCAAGAUCGUCAUUUUAUCGAAUAAACUCAAUCUUUUGUUGCCUUUCGGUCCACUAGCAAUAUUACUCCACUAUUUGACAGAUAAUAAGGUGAGCAAUGUUAGUUUCGGGUACUAAAUUUUAGCACUUUCGUUCCUUCUUGUUAUGUCAUCAAGAAAUGAUUCUUAUGGCUCAGGGAUGGAUCUUCUUACUGAGCUUAGUAGGAAUCACACCAUUGGCUGAACGUCUCGGAUAUGCCACAGAGUAAGCCGUUGCUCGCACUUGCAACUCUUAACUUACAUUCUAUUAGCAAGACUUGUAUAAAAGUACCCGUUUGUUUAUUCUUUGUAACAGGCAAUUGGCUUGUUACACAGGUUCAACUGGUAUGACUUGGUUUCUUCUAAAUACACAAGUUCAUUUUCAGGAUUCCUUUCCCUCCUGAUUAGUUUUUGACGCGCUAGAAAAAUUUCACAGUUGGAGGCCUCUUAAACGCUACAUUUGGAAACGUGACAGAGCUGAUCAUAUCUAUUUUCGCUCUUAAAAAUGGAAUGAUACGCGUUGUACAGCUGACACUGCUCGGCUCCAUUCUUUCUAACAUGUUGCUUGUACUUGGCUGCGCCUUUUUCUGUGGGGGGCUUGUAUUUUCCCGUAAAGAGCAAGUCUUUGACAAAGUAGGCAUAUCAAUUCACUUGUUGUCUCUUUUUUUUCCUGUUUUGUUCUUGUUGUUCUGUAAUCUUUACCAUGUUUCUGAGCUUAUAUCUUCUGCAAUACAGGGGAAUGCGGUUGUGAAUUCAGGACUGCUUUUGAUGGCUGUUAUGGGGCUACUCUUCCCCGCUGUUCUUCAUUACACGCAUAGCGAGGUUCAUGCUGGUUCGUCAGAGCUGGCUCUUUCAAGGUUCAGUAGUUGCAUAAUGCUUGUGGCCUAUGCUGCUUACCUUUUUUUUCAGCUAAAGAGCCAGCCCAGUUCUUAUACCCCUCUUACCGAGGUGUGUCAUCUUCGACCUUUAGUUUUUUCUUACAGAUGCCUGGAAACGAUGGUGAAGACAACUUCAAAUAUUAAAUGGUUUCUUACAAGUUACAAACCAGUUUCAUCAUUUAUGGGCUCUGUUCAUUUUUCUUCUUGGUUGCUCUCUCUACUAGCUGGACUUCAAUCUGCUGUUUGGUGAAAAUUUGUAAACUUUAGGAUAUGAACCAGAGCGAAGAAACUUCGGACGAUGAUGAAGAUCCUGAGAUCUCCAAGUGGGAAGCAAUCAUCUGGCUUUCAAUCUUGACUGCUUGGGUCUCUCUUCUUUCAGGCUAUCUUGUCGAUGCCAUUGAGGUAAAUCACUACCCUUUUUUUUUUUCUUUCUAGAUCUUAUCUUUAUGAAGAUUUUACAGUAUUAACUUGACUUGUUUAUGCCAUAUGAUUAGUACGGCAUUAUAACGUGAGUAUACUAGCUGGCUUAUGGUAAAAACUCAACCGAUGCAAUACAUAAGUUGGAAUAUGUUUUAGAUACUUGUAAUAUUCCUAAUCACAUGCACGAGUCCAUCAAAAGCGCCAAUAUUUUCUGUAGAAGUGUCUUGUCAAAGAGUGACUAGAAACCAAUGAUCACUACAACAUAACAAUGCGAGUUUGGCUUACUGUUUUCUGUUGUUUGUGUUUUUCAAUAUAUAACAGGGUGCUUCGGUCUCAUGGAAGAUACCAAUCUCGUUUAUUAGUGUCAUCUUGCUUCCUAUAGUUGGAAAUGCGGCCGAGCAUGCAGGUGCUAUUAUGUUUGCCAUGAAAGACAAGCUGGUACGCAGACUAGUCUCUUGCAAUUCUGAUGUCUUUGGUUUAUCUUUUUUUAGGUGUAUAUUUAUUAUACUCUCCUCUACAGGAUCUGUCUUUGGGAGUGGCUAUUGGAUCGUCAAUCCAGAUUUCCAUGUUUGCGGUACGUAUAAGAAAUGUGAACCUGGGGUCUAUAUAGUACUGAACAUUCUCUUUACAGAUCUGGCCUGACUUUUGGCCCGAUUAUGGAUAUAGGUUCCAUUCUGUGUGGUGAUCGGAUGGAUGAUGGGUGAACAGAUGGAUCUGAAUUUCCAGCUAUUUGAGACUGCUACACUGUUCAUAACUGUGAUAGUUGUAGCAUUCUUCCUCCAGGUGGGUUCAUAAUCUUGAAGCAAUUAAUUACGAAAACCAAUCUUGACGUUAAAUUAUGUCUCUGUGUUUGUCGUUGUGCAGGAAGGGACAUCGAAUUACUUCAAAGGAUUGAUGCUCAUUCUCUGCUAUUUGAUAGUUGCUGCCAGUUUCUUUGUACACGAAGAUCCUCAUCAAGGUUAGGUGUUGAAUUUGUUAUCUUCUUCCCAUAUAUUACGUAAAUGGUAACAUUAACCAGAAAACCUGGUUCGUGUGUCUGCGGAAACGACUUUGAAUUGGUUUUUUGUGUUCUUCGUUACUUGACAGAUGAUAUAUAGCCAUCCCAAAAAACACGUGAAUCUGGUACGUGUCCUAAAACUAAACCCUGGUGAUCUUACUUACAUGUACAUUUUUUUUUUAAGAUUCUGGAGUUAAUGUUUGUAUCAGACCAAACUGAAAGUUGUCCCAGUUUACGUUUGAGGCCCCUUCCUUGGGGGCUGGUUUAGGGUUGCAAUUUUGUGAAAUUACUUUGAUUAUCUUUAUAUAUAUUAUAUAAUCUAUUGGGAACUUGUAAUCGGAAUUUCUAUAGAUUAGGCAUCUAUCCAAGCGUUGCGCUCACCUAAAACAAUUUAACAUUUCUAUACAUAUUAAUAAUAUAUAUCACAUUAACCAUAUAUAUAAAUCAGAUUAUUCAUUCGAUAGUAAUUUUGUUUUAAAUUCAUGGUGUCCUGCUACCAAGAUGCAAGACCGGCUAAGAAACCUUUUAAAGAUUAUGCGUUAUGUUCAAGAUUUUUGUAAUACAAAAAAAAAACUCUAUUUGAUGAAUUGUGUCAUGGAUCCUAUGUGAAUUAGUGAAUACACAAAUGCGAGAAUCUCUUACAAGAACAGCCAUGUCCGCUUUAUAUUAAAAGAAAAAAAAAAUAUCAGGUUUGUUGAGUGUACAUUGUAAAAAAAAAAAAAAAAAGGAGAAAUGCAAAACGACGACACAGUUACACUCGUCGUUUGCAAAAACAAGAGGGAGGGCAUGAGGCCAUGUUGUGGAGAUCACCUCCAAACAAAAAAAUAAUAUACGAUGUGGGGCCCAUAUCGUAGGCCAUAGGCAGAAAGAACUAAAACCAUACGUCGUUUUUGAGGCUUCCCACUCCAGUAAUAAUUGGUUCAACAGUCAAAAAUGUAAAACCUACAGUAGUAAGUAAGAACCGUUCAGUUACCGUUGGUUAAAACAGUAAACUUAUUCACUUUGUGGGGCCAGUUCGUUUGAGCAGCCCAUUAGCCUAUCUAAUCAACAGGGCCCAUCUCUUGUCUGAAGGAUGCAUACGCCUUUUUUUUAACAGCUACCCACCCACAUUACCAACUCUAAUCUACCCAUCUACUGUACGGAUUGAUUUAACAUACUGUAUUUGAUUCUUCAAUACCCUAUUUUGACUUCCUGUUGACUAUGUGUUUAAAAUGAUUUUCAUUCAAGGCCUUAAAUCGUAAGCGAACAACAAUUUUUGCGUACGUGUACGCUGGUAAUUGGUGUACUGUGCGUUAAAAUACUUUAUUAAUAAAAUGUUCAUCGAUUGUAGCAAAUCACCUUCACGGGAAGAAGAACAGAACAGUUCAAAACUUGAAAAGGUAAAGAAGGCAAAGAGUUGACUCCAUGGAUUCAAGAGACCGUGUCAGGCUUCUUCUCUAAGCGAUCCUAAACCCCAUUACAGAUGUUACGUUGUUAAUUUACAAAUUAAUAAAAUCAAAUUAUUUUCUCUUCUUUUCUUUUUGGUAACCAUAUAAAAUCCAUUUUCUUUAUAAUACUAUUUGGUCAUAUUAAACUUUAAUUUUUUUGGAAACUACCACAGCUUCCGUUUUUUCUAACGUUAAUACAUAUAUAAAUCUUCUUAAUCAAAAAAAAAUUAAUACAUAAAUUGUUUAAUUAAGGGUUUUGAAGAGCUUUAAUUAGAUUCUUCAUUACAAUUUAUUUACUCAGAAUCUCUUAUGAAAAGUUUAAGAAAAAAAACUUUAAACCUUUUUCGUAUUUUAUAAAAAAGAUUAUGGUGUUUUUGAAAGGAAAAAACAAAUUUCAUGCUUUAUUAGAAAAAUUUCCUUAUAAUAAGUACGGUGUUGUAAGUUAACAAUAUAUUUUCAUCUAGACACAAUCUUCGUUCUUCUGUACGCUCCAUCUUUUUUUUUUUUUUUUCUCUGUCGCUAAUAAUAGACUAGGUGAAGACCCGCGUAUACGCGGAUUUAUUAUAUUAUUUAUAUUUUUUAAUUUGUGUUUAAUAAAAUAAAAAUUUUUCUAUCAGUGUAUAAGAGUUAACUUUUUAUUUUUAAGAAAAUUAUCCUAACAAAUACAACAUAAUUUGUGAUAGAAGACAUUUGAAGAAUUUGUUUAAUGUUCUCUAAACUAACUUAAACAAAAAAAAAAAGUGGUUUGUAAUUUUGUGAUGAGACCAUAUGUAUUUAUUAAUAAAUCUGUCAUACUUUCAUGUUCUUGUAAGCUCUUUGCCUUCUUUUCUAAAGUUGGCAUCCAUCUCCCACAAGCCUCAAAGUCAUUCACCAUGUGUUACCAACAUUUUCUGAUGGGAUCGUUGAUUUGACAAGAUUAAUAAGAAGACCGAACAAACCAAUGAUAACUGAAAUAUAGAUUGAUUUUUGCCCAAUAUAUAUCCAAAAUUAUCCCCCACAAAGAGUAAAACCUUUAUCUUCUCGAUUAAACAGAUAAUGAUCAUGACUUUAUCCUUCUACUACUCAGGAGCCUAUAAUAUGAUGAUAAUAAAGUUUUUUCAAAAGAGAUACAAUCUCAACCAAGUUUUUAUGAAAUCAAAACUCUUGGCCUGAAUAAAUUGGUAUGUAUAGAUAACAUGUGAGCUAACUUAAAUAAUUCUAAUUUGUCAAAAUACAAGCAAGCUCUGUUUACAAUAUUAUGUGAUUAUAUUAACUUGCUAUCUCAGAAGUGUUUUUUUUUUUUUUUCAGAAUUGUCUAUUUUAUUUAAAAAAUAUAUUCAUGCCACGACAACCAUACAAAAUCUUGUGACCAAUAAAAGGUAGUAUCUAGAUGCAACUUGGAUAAUAUAAAGCAUCUCUGUAUUGUUAUUCACUUUUUCAGUUAACUGAAAGAAUUGCGUUAUAAAUCUAUAGAUAUAUCAACCAAAAAAUAUGGGUAGAUGAUAAGGAAGUACCUUAAGGUGAUAUGUGCAUUCUGGUGAUGUACCAUGUGCAUUGACUAAAUUCCAUUUUCACAAUAUUAUGAGCAAGCGGCUAAUAUCAUAGCAUAGACUUCUAAAAUAUAUCUAUAAUAAGUAAUUGACUAUAAGCCGUAAGUAAGAUAAUGUCAACCAUAAAGAACAUUAGAUAACUUUUAAAUUAUAUCAGGAAACUAAGAGAGAAAAUAUCAAACAACAAAAUUGCUAGUGCGCAUCUUAUUGAGAAAAUAUAUGCUUUUACCGAGGAUUUUUAGCGAUGAAACGUUUUUUUAAAGGAAAAGGAAGACGAAGAAUUUAGAAAUCGAUUAUAAUACAUAAAUUAGAGAUGACAAGUAGCUGAUUUUAAUUUGAUUUUUUAAGCUGAUAUGUUUUAAGAAGAAAAGCUUAUGUGUCAAGCUUGUGAGACUUAAUUGAAUCUUUAUAUAAUAGAUUAUUAAAAAAAUGAAAAAAUUGUCAAUAAAAAGCUAAUCUUUUGCAUAUACAUUAUAUAUUUCGAGAAAAUGCUGUCUGAACUUCGUUUAUUAAUAACUACAAGCUUUCUGAAUAAUCUCAUGCAAAUAUAUAUAUUAAAAAUGAUCGUGUAAGAGUUAAAACAAAAAAUCCUAAGUUUAUCGGAGCCAUUGAUACAUCAAUUUACGAAGAAAGAGUCAGAGGGAGAGACAUUGCACUUUCUCUUUUUGUUAAACAAAGAAGACGGGCGCAUUUGACCUCAAUGUAAUAAGGUUUGGAACUCGAGGAAAAUAUGGAAAGGAAAAAAAUUGAAAGAUUGCUUGUGAAUCAGGAAAAGCAAAUCUCACAAGCCUUUGAAAAUGCAAUUUCUUCUCAGUUUAAAAUAUUUAUUAUUUCUGACAAACUGGUAUAUAUGAUUAAAAAGUUAUUUGUAAUUGUAUGUUUCUUCGUUAAGUCUUAACCACUAGUUAUCGUACCAAAGGGAGCAAAACAAAAAAUGUUUCUCAGUACGCUCCAUCUUCCUAUCUUGAAUUUUUAAAAAUCAAUAUAAACUAAUGACUUUACAAAUUAAUUAUUAAUUAAAUAGAGUUUUUAUCCUAUAUUUCUUAUUUGAAAAUGAAUACCAAACUCUCAGAUGUUAAAAUCUGUAGUUUUUGAAAAAAUAUGUAUGAAAUGUAGUAAGUACAAAGUGGAAGGGUAACGAAAACGAUCAAUAACUGCAGAAUAUUUUGGGCUUUGGAAUGGUAUAUAUUAUUAUUAUGGCUGUCACUCUGCGGAGAAAGUGACAUUUCCUUGUUUUUUUAUUUAUUAUAAAUGGCUUUGUAAUCUUAUAUAUAAAACUUGGCCAACUUUCUCCAGCUCCUUGCCACAUCAACACUGGAGAAAGCGCCACCUGUCCAUUUAAAAUCUUAAUGAAAUAAACAAUUAAUCACAUUUAAAGAAAAAGCAUUAAAGAACAUUAAUAAAUAUUAAUAUGUAUAACAAAUGUAUUUAAAUAAAUAAAUUCAAAUUUAUUUUAAAUAUAUCAAAACUUAUAAAUAUUAUAUAAUAUAAAACUUUUUGAAAUACAUCAUUCCAUUUCUUCUUUUCAAGUGAUUUAAACUACAUUUUCAAACUAAAAGUAUAAUUAAAUUUUUAUGAAAGUGAAAAAAAAUUAUCAGACUGAAUAAGUUAAGAAAUUUUAAAUAAUCUUAUAUAAAACUCUAACUAAUAAAAUUAUAACACACAAAAUAUUCAAUAAAUGAUUAAAGAGUUAAAAACAUUACUAAAAAAUAAUAGUAAAAAAAAAGUGGAUACAUAAAAAUGUCAUACAAAGUUUUUUAGUAAUUUUUAAAAAGAUGUAAUCAAUAAAAUAUAUAUAACCAAAAAAAAUCAAAAUGGUAAAUUUUUCUAUGAGCUAUUACGUUUUUAUAUAAAAAUUAAAAUAGUAGAUCUUUAGUCUCUCAUUACCGUAUGAAAAAAAUUGGAUUAUUUGGUACAACCGGUGUGAAAGAGAUUACAAAUAAUUUAUCAUCUAGAAGAAAUCGGAAAAUAUAAAUAUUUUAAACGAAAAAACAUUGAUGGUAAAAAUAAAAUUCAAUACAAAUCUUAUAUAUAAAAGACAAUCAACUCUCUCCAAAUGAGUGACACAUCAGCAAUGGAGAGAGUGACCUGUGGCACAUCCAAAAAUUGAUAAAAUAAAUAAUUAAUUAAAUUUAAAGCAAAACACAUUAAAAACAUAAAUAAAGAUUAAUAUAUAUAUAUUUAUAUAUACAUACAUUAGAAUACAAUUCAAAUUUAAUUUAAAUAUAGAAAAACUUAUAAAUUAUAUAAUACAAGAUUUUUUAGAUGCACUAUUCUAUUUUCUUCUUUCAAGUGAUUUAAUUUUUUUUUCAAACUAAAAAUAUACUAAAUUUUAAUGCAAAUAAAAAAAAUUAAGACUGAAUAAAUUACGAAGUUUCAAGUAUUCUUAUAUAAAACUUCAACUAAUAAAUUAAAAAACACAAAAAAUAUUUAAUAAAUGAUUAAAGAGAUAACAAUUAUUAAAAAAAAAUAGUAUAAAGAAAGAUGUGCACGUAAAAAUAUCAUACAUAAAUUUAAAUUAAAAAAAUGGAAUCAAUAAAAUAUAUAUAACUAAAAAAUUCAAAAUGGUAAAUUGAAAAAGUUAACAAGUAUUAUAUUAGUAAGAUUUACAAGAAUAAAAAGAAUAUGAAGAUCGAAGAACAAAUAAAUAUUCUUUUCUGAUAUUAAACGUAUAUUUAUAAGCGAAUUAUUACGUUUUCAUAUAAAAUUUAAAAUAGUAUAUUUUUAAUCUCUUAUUAUUUUGGAAGAAAAAUCAGACGAUUUGACACAACCGGUGUAGAAGAGAUUACAAAUAAUUAUCAUUAAAAAAAAAUCAAGGAAAAUAUAAAUAUUUUAAACGUAAAAACAUUGAUAAUAAAUAUAAAAUUCAAUACAAAUUUUAAAAAUAUAGUAUUUAAAUAUAUAUUAAAACAAGAUCCGUGUAUACCACGGGUUCUCUCCUAAUUUAUUUAAAAGGACUUUGUUCUGCACUGCACUGCAAAACGGAGAUUUCGCCAUCUUCUUUGUCACAAUGUCAAGUUGCUCUCAAUUCUUGGAUUCUCUCCAUCACAUCCAAAUCUUUCUUUUAUAUCUUUCCUCUUGUAUUUCCCAUUUUUUUCUUUUGUUUUUUUUUUUCCGUUUUUUGUUUGAUUUGUUGUUUGACCCUCUUUUUAGCUUAGCUACCCAUGUUCGUAUUAUUCACUUAUUAAUGUUUCUUAAAUAUGAUGCUAACGUUACUAUCAUGUCUGAAAUUCACAAGGGCGAAUUUUAGGAAUAUACUAUAUUAUAUAUGUAUCUUCAAAAACUCAGAGUGCAUACACACUUUUCGAUGUUUUUUUUGGCUCAGCGCUAGAUAUUGUAGUCGGCUGAUCGGCUCACAUUUGGUUUUAAUUACUGAAAAAGUGGUCAAUUCGGGUUUCAAAUCAUACUUUUUCUCUGGUUAGACUAGACUACUUAAUUUUGUCUAUAUAUAUUAUACAUCACUCUCUACAUAUCUAUGAAAACAUCAAAGGGAAUAUAUGUUUUAACUAUGUUUUUUUUCAGUCAUUUUAGAUUAUUUACAUAUCGGAUGUAUUGCCUGUUGUAUUAUAAACUUGUAAUGGUCCCUUAUGGACACUGUAUACGCAUUGUUUACUUAUAUAUAUAUAUAUCACGUGUAUACAUCUACAUAUACAUCAUGCAUAGAUGUAAAAAUGUUAUUCUGGACCACCGACCUCCUAAAGAAAAAAUGAUACCAAUAAUUAUGUAAUUAGUACUGUGGUUAUUUGCUGGUGGGAGUUCCCGAACAUUAAAUGCUUUUAACUGGAAUUUAUUUGUCUGCACGCAAUUGAAUAGCAAAGUGGAAAUUUAAUGGCGCGAAUGAUGGUUUGAUGAUGCGUUUUGGAGUCACAUAGGAAGACACGACAGUGUCUUGUGUCGUUUAUUAGACAUAGGGGGUAAAAAGUAAAAAAAAAAUAUAUGAUUCAAAUAAAAUCAUUCGACAAUGAUGUAAUAUUUUCCCUCCGAACUGAACUAUGUUCUAUGCUGUUUUUUUUUAACGUACCGUUAUGUCUGAUGGGACCAUUCUCAUUUAUUGCUGGACCCGUUUAUUUUUAACCAAAAUAAAUUGGAAUCGUGAAAAGAAUUUAACAAAAAAUAUCGUGAAAGCAAAAAUAAGGUACAGUUUUUAUUUUGCUGUUUAAAUGGUACAAAAUUGGUGGUAAGAGUCCAUGAGUGAUGCAAUGGACCGUUUGUUCAAUAAUCAGCUUGAAAACAAUCGAUGUAUGAUACUGGUAAGAAUAAAUACAUAUAGAUAUUGAGUUGGUACUAUUGUGUAGUAAUUAUUAGAACACAAUAAUUAAUCUAUCAGAAUGUCAUUUAUUUAAUGCUUUAGAAAUCCACAAUCCUAGUAUGAAUCUAAAAUGAUGGGGAAGCAUGCAUUAAAUACAGCAGGCUGGAAAGUCUUGACACGUGUCCAUAUCCAUAUGUGGUUGUAUGAAAAGUCAACUUACUGCAAUUCAUUACCACCAUCCUUUUGCUCUAAUCAAACAAAACAUUUUUAUUUCUUCUUUUCUUUUUGAGAAAACGCUUUUAGCUCUACUAAAAUAUCUCAUGGAACUUUACUGAUUUACAUAACUAAUCAACCUUUUUCUUUUUUUACAUCUUACUAAAUGUCAUUCAAGCUAUUAGUUUAUUGACUAAUAUUUUAUCUAUAAAUCAUGCAGAUUUAGUAAUUGGUUUUAUACCCAAUUAAAUAUAUUUUUGAAUUAUUAAAAAAGGAUUGAAACGAUAAUAAUUUUGAAUACUUCUUUCCCAAUAUAAUCUGAUCAGAAAAAGUUCACCAAUAAAUCGAUUUGAAUAAAAUGAUACAUGAUAUACUGUAAAAAAUGCAAAGAAGUAAAUAACAGAAAUUAUGCGUUGUGACUUAUCUUAUAUAUAUAAAAGUUGCUUAACUUUCUUCAUAUGAUUGACAUAUCAGCAAGGAAUAGGUUGACACAUGUCCUUAAAUUUUAAUUAAUAAUUUUUAAUAUUAAAUUUUAAAACACUUAAAGAAUAUGAAAAGUUUAUUUUAUUAAUUGACUCUUAAUUCAAAUUUAUAUUAAUGUUAAACAAAAGUUUAUGUUAUAACUAAUUAAAAAUAUUGAUAGAUAUGUAUUUAAUUUUUAUAUAAUUGUAUAUUAGUUAAUAAUAUUUAGAUUACUUAAUAAUAUUGAAGAUAUAUUUUAAAUUAAUUUUUUAAAAUUAUUUAUAAUAAAAUACUAACAAGUAACAAAUGAAAUGAUGAUUAUAUUAAUUUUAUUUUUUAAUUAAUUGACUAUCAAUUAAUAUUUCUGUAAAUGUUAAACAAAAUUUUAUGUUAUAACUAAUUAAAAAUAUUAAAUGAUAUUUAUUAAUCUUGAUAUAACUUUAAAUUAUUAAAUAAUAUUCAAUAUGUAUUAAUAUUUUAUAAUUUUUAGAAUAAAUAUUAACAAAUAAGUAAGUAAUAAGUAAUGAUUAUAUUAAUUUUUAUAAAAAUAUAAAAUAAAGUUUGAAAAUUUUGAAAAGAAAAAUUGGCACGUAACGUGCGGAUAUUCAAAUAAUAAUAAAAAAGACUAUUUUGUGGUCAAAAAACUAAAAAUUCUAAACUCGAAGAAAACAAUCUCUUUCUCCUUUUUGAUCUCUAUAUGUGUAAGACUUAAAGGUCUGAUUUUAUUCAACAUUUUUGUUUAAUUUUACUAAGUUUGUAUGUAUGUAUACAUUAAAUGUAAUAAUUGUUCAAUAUCUACAUUUUUCGUUGUAAUUAAACAACAUAAUAGAUAUCGUAAAAUUUAAAUUAACAAUAAUUAUUUAUAUAAGACAAGACAUUAUGUUAUGUACUUAUGUUUAAAGGAUGCUUACCUUUUUUUGUCGGCAAAGGGUACUUACUUACAACAUCUAUUGAACAGUCGAGAAAAUAAUUUUAUCAAAAUAGUUGAAAAUCGUGAUGCUUUUUUUUUUUUUCUUACAUUUGAAUGAAUAAUUUAAUAGUCACUUAUAGAGGGAAGGGGAAGGAAGAAAAGGACACGCAUGCAAAAUGAAGGCAGACCAAAGAAAGGGUAAGAAAAAGCAAACUGACGAAGCUUAAUAAAACUUUCACCUUCCCCAUUGUUUGUUCACAGAAAAAGGGACCAACAGAUAAAUUAAUAAUACCAAACCAAGAGAAUUUUUAUUUAUUCAUUCCUUUUUUUUAUAUUAAUGCAAAAGAGAAUAUUAUUAAGUAGCGAAAUUCAAGACUUAAAAGAAGCAGAAGAAGAAGAACAACAACAACACGCGAGAAAAUCCAGAUCUUUCCCUCUCUCUCUCUCUUUCCGCAUCUCACUUUUUCCAUCCUCGAAGAACCCUUUUCUUGCCCUCUACUUUCUGUGGAAAUUUCGUAUUCUCGCUUCUUCGUUUGUUAAUUUAACGUGGAUUCCGAUCGUUUGGAGUUACUGGAAUCGGAGAGAUCGUAUUUCGUCAAGGUAAAUUUCAGAGUUUAAAAGUCCUUUCUUUAUUAUACUGUUCGUCGGUGGGUAUGUUCACUGUUUCCCGAGAUUCGAGUGUGAGAUCCGUUUUGUUUUCUAUCGGCAUUGCUGCGAUUUCAAGCGGUUUUAAAGUGUCGGUGAAUCAUUGAGAGAAAGAGGAGGAGCUUCGUGGUUUUCGUUCUCGAUGCUCCUCUCCUCUGACUACUGUUUCAUUUUUAACGGUUUCGUCUCUUUUAAAGUUUCGAGAUUGCAUUUAUGGCGAGCUAAAGUAAUGCGUUUUUUUUUCUUUUGUUUGUUUUAGGACAAGACAAGUGUAGAUAAGACUUAAAUGCAGAGAAAUCGAGUGAAUGUAUUCAUAAGCCCCACUUUAAGAGCAGAUCUGGAGCUUUCACUAGGAUUCUGCUAAUUUCGUAUACUAAGCUGGUAGAAAUUAUCAAGAAGCACAAAAAGGUUAGGUUUUUUCGUUCUAUGUUUUUUUUCUUUUUGGUGGUAAUGGCUGAGGCAAAUAUCUUGUGGGGGAUACUUUACUUCUUAUGUUCACGGGGAAUCUCCGCUUUGGAGUUUAUGGCCGUGUAACAUGACCUUUAAUGCCAUCACAGGAAGAUUCAGUGGCAAACAUUUAAUUGGAAAAACUCAAAAAAGAAAAGAUGAUUCUUGAUUUGAUAUCUCCUACUUUGUAUAACCGUUGCCUUCUCUUUCUCCAGGUUUGUUUUGUCUCAUAAGUGAUGGUGCAAUAAGUCACAUGCAUGUCCUCUGAAUCCGCGUAGCAUCAAGAAACUUUCCCUUUGAAUUGAUGAUGUCAGGUAAAUUUUGUUGUUUGUUCUCCAUUUAUGUCUGAUUGAUAGAUAUUGAGACUUUGCAGAUACUUACUUUGAUUUGUCUAUUUGAAGGAGUUGAAGAAAACGGAACCCUUGAGGAAAUUAGGGAGAGAAGAUCAGACUUUGAAAUCUCGGAAGAUGAGAGGCGGCGCUCCAAAAUCGGGAAUUUGAAGAAGAAAGCGAUUAAUGCUUCCACCAAGUUCACUCAUUCUUUGAAGAAAAGAGGGAAAAGGAAAAUUGACUAUCGGAUUCCUUCAGUCUCCAUCGAAGAUGUACGGGAUGAAAAAGAGGAAAGCGUUGUGCUUGAAUUCCGCCGCAACCUUCUCGAGAGAAACUUGCUGCCUCCUAGACAUGAUGAGUACCAUACUCUUCUGAGGUUAGUUUGUCCUUAUUUAGCAGCUACAUAAACACUCUGGUCGCUUGAAAUAAAAAUGUGAGUAGUUGUAUAUAAAGUGGAGCUAACUAACCAUUCAUUUUGAAAAUCUAGAUUCUUGAAAGCGAGGGAUCUUAACAUUGAAAAAACUAUCCAGAUGUGGGAAGAAAUGCUUAGAUGGAGAAAAGAGUAUGGGACAGAUACCAUACUAGAGGUAAGCAGUCAUAGAUUUAAGUUUGACUCCAGCUUCUUUGUUGUUCCAUAUAAAAGAGAGAAGUAAUUUUCGUGUUAGUCAAUGGAUUCAACAUCAAGCUCUUAUGUUCUGAUAAUUCUAUGCAUUCGGAUGCUAGGAUUUUGAUUUCAAAGAGCUGGAAGAAGUUCUGCAAUAUUAUCCUCAAGGGUAUCAUGGAGUUGACAAGGAAGGAAGACCUGUCUACAUUGAAAGACUUGGAAAAGCUCAUCCCGCUAAGCUUAUGCGUAUCACCACCAUAGAUAGAUAUCUCAAAUACCAUGUGCAAGAGUUUGAGAGAGCUCUCCUUCAGAAAUUCCCUGCAUGCUCGAUUGCAGCCAGGCGUCGAAUUUGUUCCACGACUACAAUACUAGAUGUGCAAGGACUGGUACUUAUUCAAGCUAUUCCCAAGUUUUGGAAUUUUUCUUGCACUGUAUUAUGCUCUGAAGCAAAAUUUACUUUUUUAGCGCUUCCAUAUUCUUAGCUGUGCAGUGUCAUGUUUAAUCACAGGGCAUGAAGAAUUUUACACCAACAGCUGCAAAUCUUGUGGCUGCCAUGUCGAAGAUUGACAACAACUACUAUCCUGAGGUACUUGAGUUUCUCAAUUCAUAUGUCAAUUAUUCUUUGCAUACAUACCGGGUUGUUGCAAGUCAUCAUAUCAUUUUGCAGACGUUGCACAGAAUGUACAUUGUAAAUGCUGGGACAGGUUUCAAAAAGAUGCUUUGGCCUGCUGCUCAGAAGUUUCUUGAUGCAAAGACCAUCGCAAAGAUACAUGUACAGCUUUCAGCCUAGUUUUUCUCUUUGGUCAACUUUUGCCAUGUGUACGUUAUCUUAUUUCUGUUGCUGCAGGUGCUAGAACCUAAAUCUUUGUCCAGAUUACACGAAGUUAUUGAUUCAAGGUAGUUUGCUUUUCCAUUCAAACCGCACCUGACAAAUUUCAAAUAUCAUUUGUAGCUAUUACUUACCAGCUCCAUCGCUCUGUGCUUUUAGUCAAUUGCCAGACUUCCUCGGAGGCUCAUGCUCUUGCUUUGGCGAUGGAGGGUGUCUUCGCUCGAAUAAAGGACCCUGGAAUGAUCCUGAAAUAAUGAAGGUAAAAAUCUACAUCCUAUUAAAUUUUGCUUUUAAAUUUUUGGGCACGCUGUUCUUUCCUUACGAACUUUUAAGUAGGAGUCAGCUUAUAGUCCGGGCUUGUUCAUGAAGAUCAUUUUAAAUCUGUGCCUUUAUUAGCUCAUCUAUCAUGGAGAGUCAUCACUCUUUAGACAAAUCACCAGGAAGCUGAGUGACCCACAGAAUUCUUCAUCCUACAUAAGUAUACAUCCAUCGAAGGUAAAUGGCUAUAUCAAGCCAAUAUCUGUUUGUUUUGGAAUUUUUGUUUUUUUUUUUGUUUUUUCCAGGUAUAUAUGACAAAUUCAAAUUUGAAUAUCAGGCUAUGCAAGCUGAGACUUCUGCAGCAGAAUGUGUAUCUUGUUCUGAUGUUCCUACUUCUCUAACUGGAAGGGUGUGCGCAGCCUCUGCUCAUGUGAAUCCAGCUUAUGAGGAAGUGAGUUCUUGUGUUGGUACAUUUUGUGUCACAGACCACACUAGUUAUCUUAUCACUGACCGGAAAAAUAUGAUCUAUGCAGGCAAGGGCAUCAGAUGUUAAUGGCUAUUAUAGUUGCGAUGACAAGUUUGCCAUACCUAACAAAGCUACUAACCGAAAAGGCCAAGAAAGGCAAUCCCACUACCAAAUGCUGGAACUCAAUCAAACAACACUCGGUUUAAAACAUGAAACAUCUCCACCAGGUUAUACUGCUAACUCAUGCUUUGCUGCUAAAAACAUAUUCCUUUGUAAUUUUCUCACCUUUUGAAUUUCAUCUUCCCUCUGGUACCUUCCAGGUGCUCCCAUCAUACGAUGGCUUCAUGAUUUAAGGGGAACAAUUGACAGCAUAAAAUCUGAGAACCUAGCCAAAAGGGUACUCUCGUUUAUGCUGAAACUAGCAGCAGUUUUCCGUUAUAUCCCGUUUGAGCUUUCGAGAAGACAAAACACCGUUACUCCUUCAAACCCAACAGAAGAUAAUAAUAGGAGAAGCCUCAUUCCAACUUCUACAGAGCUCACAAUGAAAGACCGGAUUCUUCCGUGUUUGGAGCGUAUUCAGAAGCUGGAGAAAAAGUAUGAGGAAAUCCGGAACAAACCCGUUGAAAUUCCCGUAGAGAAGGAGAGAAUGCUGUUGGAUUCUCUUGACAGAAUAAAAUCGGUUGAGUUUGAUCUUGUUAAAACAAAGAGGGUAUUAUGAUUUUCCUUUGUUUUUCUUCACAAACUUACUUAGAAUUACAGUAUGGACUUGACAUGUUCGAUGGUUGCAGGUUUUGCACGCCACAGUGAUGAAGCAGAUGGAAAUAACCGAAAUGCUGGAAAGUUUAAGAGAGUCCCAACUUCACGUAAGUCCUCGAGAUUAUGACGCUAUAGUGAACAAGAUUUGCGAUGAGCUAACACCUGCAGAUUGUUGUUUGUGCAGAGAAGAAGAUUGUUCUGUUAGAAACCAUUAGAGAACAUCUGAGUUUUGCAUAAAAUACAGCUCCAAACUUCUGCACAUACAGAGAGAGAAAAAAAAUCCAAUAAACAAACGGUGUUAGUUUCUUAAUCUCCUUCCUCCUCUAACUUCUGUUAUCUUUCUUUCCUCAUAGGUCCAUCUGCUUCCACUUUUAAAUUAAAAAAGAAGAAGAUAGGGACAGUGAAAAUCUUUGAUGUUCGAUCUUGUCGUUGAUAAUGUAGAUUGAGAUCAGAGUUGAAGUAUCAAGCUGAUUUCCAAACCCUUUUGUUGUAAUCGGUGUAGAGAAGAAACUACACUAGAAGAAAAAAAAAGAAUCGUAUGAGAUUUUGUAAAUCUUUUUUAAGGUAAUAUGAUGAGGAAAACACUACCGAGUCUCUAAUGUCUUUACUCUAUGAAGAGAAUCCAUUUGUUUAACAUGAACGCAACAAGAAACAAAAUUGUGAAUGGUUAUACUAUAAUCAUGUAGUACGAUUAUUUAGGAAUCUGGUGCAUCUUGUAGUUGUUAUAGGUAGAUUGUGUAAAAUAUUUACAUAAUUCCAAAUAUCCGAAUGCAAAUGAUAUAAAAGUCAAAUCAGCCCUCGUAAACUUGAUUGAAUACGAGAGACACCCGAAUUAUGGAAGGGUAAGAUUGUAAACAAAGGAUGAUGAAAGUGUAAGGAAUUUUAAAAUCGGGGAAAAAUCGGGACCGUCCUUUUCCACUGAUGUAAGCCUGUGAACGAAGAAGAUAAAUUUCCCUGUCUUCUCUCUCUCUCUCUCCUUCUCCGUUCUUGUUUUCUGAAUUCGCUCGAAAUCGAUCUCAACGCCAAUCCAAUGAUGUUUUAUAUUCGACCCCAAACUUAAAUUUAGAAACCACAAUUUCUCGAAGUCAAUCCGUUUUCAUUUUCACGAAUUGCAUCGCCAGGUGAAUUUGUUGAUCCUAUGUUUUGUACGCCUUUGAUUGCCAUGUUGCUGAGUUUUUGGAAUCGUGCUCCGCUUUUGUUCUUAAUUCGAUAUCACGAUUGCUUACGCAUGUGCGGGUUUUCAUUUGGUUUCGCUUUUCCCUCCGCGGCUUUGUGAAUUUGAACUUUUAGUGCGUCGUAGCCGAAUCAGGGGCUGUUUUCUUCGUUUCGUGUGGGAUGAGGCUACGAUUUUAAUAUUGAACUUGGGAAUACACUUUAAUCUUUGUCCAGAGGGCUCCUAGUACCUAAGCGCUUUGCUUGUUGGAUAUUGUUACUCUCUGGCAUAUUGUCUUGACUAUGAAUUCGCUAGAUCUUGUUUUAGAUGUUGCAGCUCAAGCAAUAUGUACAGAUAGUUAUGGUCUUUUGAAGUCUUACCUAAGAUAGUGUCUUUAUAUGUUAUUGUUCACUUUAGGUCCCUAUUUUGAGCCUCAUCCUUGUGAGUAGGAAUAUUAAGCUUCCUACUAUUGUAGCUUCUGUGGUCCCUUGCUUUGAGAGUUCAGUAAUAGAGGUACUUUUCUACAUGUUAAGGCCCUGUUUAUCAACUAAAAAAAAUGUCCAAUUACCACCAAGAGGAGGAUGCUGAUUACAUGGACGAUGUGGAUGAUGAAAUGGAUGAUGUGGUUGACGAUGAUAUAGAUGACGAGUUUCGCGGGGAUGAUAUGGUUGCAUCGGAUUCCGAUGUCGACGAGUUUGACUACUCAGUAAGUGUGCCUGUACCUGUAAGAAGUCUAUUAAUGUAAAUUUAUUUGUGCCAUUCUUGAAUGCUUUAUGUGAAUUGUAUAGCUAAUAAUAAUAUCGGUUCAUAAUUAGGAAUUCAGUUUUUUUCGAUGUUGUUGCAAUCGCUUACUCUACUGUGUGGACUCUUUGGUUUCAGAAUAAUAAAAUAGCUGACACUUCAGCUGAUCAAGCCCGGAAAGGGAAAGACAUUCAGGGGAUUCCUUGGGACAGGCUUAGUAUUACACGUGAGAAAUACAGACAAACUAGACUAGAACAGUACAAAAACUACGAAAAUGUUCCCAAUUCUGGGGAAUCCUCGGGGAAAGUAAGUCUUUCAUUCUCUGACCCUUAAGCCUUUGUCGACUUGUUUUACUAGUAUUAGUUUACAUAUCAUUCAUUCAUUUGUUUAAUGACCUCAGGAUUGCAUGGUCACGCAGAAAGGGGCCAUUUUUUAUGAUUUCUGGCGGAAUUCAAGAUCUAUCAAAUCAAGUAUUCUUCAUUUCCAGGUUACCAUCGAAGCAUAGCUAUUUUUGUUAUUCAAAGUUCUUUUUGGUAGCUCAGUCGGUAUGCCAUGUGUUUGGUUUAUAGGAUGUACAAAUUGCUACAACUGUCCACAAAAGUUGAAAGAAAUUGAUUCGUAGAACGUUUGCUGUGCUAAAAAGCAUGUACGUGGACUUCUAAUAAAAAGUCGUUUUCUUUGGUUUGUAGUUGAGGAAUUUGGUUUGGGCAACUUCUAAGCACGAUGUCUACCUUAUGUCACAAUUUUUGGUGAGCCACUAUUCUACUUUGACAUCUGGAAAGCAUGAAGUUCUCAAUGUUCAAGGUCAUGUUUCCCCAUCCGAGGUUAGUUUCUUCUGGAAUCGUGAAAGAUUCUUGUAAAUCUACAUCAGUUAAUGAUGAUUUUUUCUUUCUUUUCUUGUGUGGGUGCAGAAACACCCUGGAAGCUUGUUGGAGGGAUUUACGAAGACUCAAGUGAGUACACUUGCAGUGAGAGAUAAAUUUCUAGUUGCUGGCGGAUUUCAAGGAGAACUUAUCUGCAAGGUAAGCUCUAGAGUUUUACGAAUCAUGCAUUUCACAUACAUGCAAUCUGAUCAAGGAACUUCAUCUGUUUCCCCAUUGAUUUGAUUCAGCACCUUGAUAGACCUGGUGUGAGCUUUUGUUCACGUACAACUUAUGAUGAUAAUGCUAUCACCAAUGCAAUUGAGAUUUAUAACAAACCCAGGUAUUUACUUGUCUUUUGGUCGAUGUAGUUUUUGCCAACUUGGGCAAUUUACAGCUUCUAACUUGCCUUUUGGCGUCUGCCUGGCUUCAGUGGAGCGCUUCAUUUUACCGCAUCAAAUAAUGAUUGUGGAGUCAGAGAUUUUGAUAUGGAGAGAUAUCAGCUUGUACACUAUUUUCGCUUUCCUUGGCCAGUGAAUGUAAGUUCCUUACUUGUUUCUUGAUUCAUUGUUUCUGCUUUGUCAUAAGUCGAUCAGUCACACUUGGGACAGUAAGUUUAAGUCAUAACUACGGUAUGGAAUCUGACAUCUUUUACAUCAUGAAUCAUUUAACUAAAAAAUGGAUCAUUUUUUAUUCUUGUCAGCACACAUCUCUGAGUCCUGAUGGUAAAUUAUUGACGAUUGUGGGAGACAACCCGGAGGGCCUUCUCGUAGACCCCAACACGGGAAAGGUGCAGAUACUAUCAUCUCUAUGUUCAAUUACUAUGAAAUAAAUACGCUCUUUCUUUCUAACUCAAUUGGAUCAUUUCCGACAGACACUGGGAACGCUAGCAGGACACUUGGACUUUUCCUUUGCAUCGGCAUGGCACCCAGAUGGGGUCACAUUCUCCACAGGUAACCAAGACAAGACAUGCCGGGUUUGGGACAUACGUAACCUGUCUAAAUCUGUUGCUGUCUUGAGGGGUAACCUCGGGGCAAUCAGAUCCAUCCGCUACACAUCUGAUGGGAGAUACAUGGCCAUGGCUGAGCCGGCAGACUUUGUGCAUGUCUAUGACGUCUCAAAAGAGUAUGAAACAGAGCAAGAGAUCGAUUUCUUUGGGGAGAUCUCGGGAAUAUCCUUUAGCCCUGACACAGAAGCGCUCUUCAUCGGUGUUUGGGACCGCACUUACGGUAGUCUCCUUGAGUAUGGUCGGCGCCGUAACUACUCCUACCUUGAUUCAUUUCUUUAAUCAUUCACUCACAAUAAUAAAAGAGCGUUCCUCACUCUCCCGUGGCUGGCUUUGUUCAACCGAGAAACCCGACCAAGAGAAAACGUUAAAAAGUGUAUAACUGAAUCUCUCUAAUGGUGUAAAUGAUGUGUUGUGCAAUUACUAGUUAAGGGCCAUGGCUAUGGGUAUAGAAAAGAAACAUUUGCCUGAGCCCAUUUUUUAAUAAAAUUUUGAAGACUCCAUUUGAUUAAUUGCUAAUUUUUAAAAUUUUCAAUUGAGUUUUGUUUACAUUAGCAACUAAUUAAAAAGAUUAAUUUAAGUGGAGUGAAUAGAAAUUAGGCGCAUUUGUUUUUGCAAAUCUUGUCCCAUGGCAAGUCUGAGCGUUUGCAUCUAUAUCAAUUAGAUAUGGAUUAAAACUAACAAAAGAGAAAGUAAGGCGUUGAAAGAAAAACCGUGUAAACUACGAGGGCUUCAACAAAAACUAUAUGACUGAAAAAUCUCAUAAUCCAGAAAGAACCAACGAGAUAAUGCCACAUCAUCAACCCGAAAUCGUAUCCUCACAAACAAAAUCCUGUUUCGUCUCCUGAUGACCCAGAGAAGCCAAAACCGAUCCCUAAGAUCAUAAAUCCAAAACCACUCAUUUCUAAUUUGCACUCCAAAAGAAGAAGAAGAAGAAGAAGAAGAAACAAUGGCGACAAGUGCAUCUGCUUUGCUCUCUCCUUCAACAUUCUCCACUGCAAUCUCCCAGAAAAACCCAAACUCCAUCUCAUUCCAUGGCCUCCGUCCUCUCCGCCUCGGUGGCUCCUCCUCCGCCUUACCCAAGCUCUCCACCACCACCGCCGGAAGAAAAUCCUCCUCCGCCGUCGUGAGAGCCGAGCUAAGCCCAUCCGUCGUUAUAAGCCUCAGCACGGGUCUCUCCCUCUUCCUCGGCCGAUUCGUUUUCUUCAACUUCCAGAGAGAGAAUGUGGCCAAACAGGGCUUGCCGGAGCAGAACGGUAAAAC
rnacentral:lncRNA from 1 species